GAGAGAGAGAGAAUAAUAUCUGUUAAUCGUUUAAUUCAUUUAUCGCAAAAUGGAUAAAAGCAUCAUCAUUUGUUUUAAAAUCGUUCUUCACUCAUUAACAGUUUAUUCUAUUAAAGUCUCAGUAAAGGAGGUGUGGCCUGUUUGUGUCAGUCAUAAUAAAGGAGGUGUGGCCUGUUUGUGUCAGUCAUAAUAAAGGAGGUGUGGCCCCUGUGUCUGUCAGUCACAGUGAAGGAGGUGUGGCCCCUGUGUCAGUCACAAAGGAGGUGUGGCCUCUGUGUCUGUCAGUCAUAAUAAAGGAGGUGUGGCCUCUGUGUCUGUCAGUCAUAAUAAAGGAGGUGAGGCCUCUGUGUCUGUCAGUCAUAAUAAAGGAGGCCUCUGUGUCUGUCAGUCAUAAUAAAGGAGGUGUGGCCUCUGUGUCUGUCAGUCAUAAUAAAGGAGGUGUGGCCUCUGUGUCUGUCAGUCACAGUGAAGGAGGCGCGGCCCCUGUGUCUGUCAGUCACAGUGAAGGAGGCGCGGCCCCUGUGUCUGUCAGUCACAGUGAAGGAGGCGCGGCCCCUGUGUCUGUCAGUCACAGUGAAGGAGGCACGGCCCCCGUGUCUGUCAGUCACAGUGAAGGAGGCGUGGCCCCUGUGUCUUUCAGUCACAGUGAAGGAGGCGCGGCCCCCGUGUCUGUCAGUCACAGUGAAGGAGGCGUGGCCUCUGUGUGUCAGUCACAGUGAAGGAGGCGUGGCCUCUGUGUCUGUCAGUCACAGUGAAGGAGGCGUGGCCUCUUUCAGUUACACUGAAGUUCUACUCGGUCCUGACUCUCUCUCACCUUUUCAUGCCACUGCAGCAGGAUGGCGCUGCUGUUAUCUGACGGCUUCUCGAACCCUCUGUAGACGUACUUCAUCAACAGAUCCACUCCGUUCUUAUCCAGAGACUUCACAGCCGGCUCAAUAUCACUACUCUUAAAGGAGGUGAGAACACGCAUCACCACGGCCUGGGCACGUUCCUGAGUAAGAGAGAGAGAGAGAGAGAGAGAGAGAGAGCUGUUGUAUUCAUGACAUGUGCUGACAUGUGCUGUGGUCUAACUGUUUAAAUGUACUUAAAUAUAAAUAUAGUUUUCAUUAAAGUUGAAAUAAAAAUCACUCUUUUAUAAAUUAAACUAUUUCUAUAACUCA